rnacentral:rRNA from 1 species
AAGCACCGGCUAACUCUGUGCCAGCAGCCGCGGUAAUACAGAGGGUGCUAACGUUGUUCGGAAUUACUGGGCAUAAAGCGCACGUAGGCGGCCAGAUAAGUGUAGAGUGAAAUCCCACGGCUUACCCGUGGAACUGCUUUGCAUACUGUCUGGCUAGAGGAAGGUAGGGGAGAGCAGAACUCUUGGAGGAGCGGUGAAAUGCGUAGAUAUCAAGAGGAAUACCAGUGGCGAAGGCGGCUCUCUGGUCCUUUUCUGACGCUGAGGUGCGAAAGCUAGGGUAGCGAACGGGAUUAGAUACCCCGGUAGUCCUAGCCGUAAACGAU